AGGGCUGUAGCUCAGUGGCAGAGUGCCUGCUUUGCGGGCUGAAGGUCUUGGGUUCGAUUCCCAACAUCCCUA